GAUGAGGGCAUUCAUAGAGCUCUGUGUAGUGACAGUUCUUGCUUGGCUUUAUUAGUUUGCAGAGGAAUUGUCCAGGAGCCCCAGCCGGAUGAGAGUGUCAGAAGUGGACCUGAGCAGCCUGGCCAUCCUUCUAAGGAAACAAGAAUAGUCCUCAGGUUUCUGCCGUCUGCAUAACUGGCUUACCAAUCAAAAAGACGUCGCGUGUCAAAGUCUACUGCCCUUAUAAUGGAAAGCGAGUGAGAGUGACGAGACUGUGAGCGUUAUUGGUGCCAGGCAGGAGCCGUCCAUCUGGAAGCAGAACAGCCGCUACUAUCACUGAGAAAAGAGUGGUGUGUCCUCUGCAGUAGAAGGUUGGAUCCAGGAGGAUGACUCCAGGUGGACAUGGGCAGGAGUGCUAGGUGUGCAUCCACACAGGUCAGGUCUUGGGAGCCAUGGAGAAGUUGAAGCAGAGAAAAAUCAUGAGGAGCAGUGGGUGCUGAAGUGGAGCGGUGACUCUGUUUACGGAGUUGGGCUCAGAGGAAGUGUCCAGGAGCCCCAGCCCGAGGAGAAGCUGGCAGAAGUGGACCUGAUCAGUCUGAACAUCCUUCUAAACAGACAUGAGCAGUCCUCAGCUUUCUGCCUCCCGCAUAACUACACUUCAUUACUUUAGCAGCACGGCUGAAGCUUAAGAUAAAUGCAGGGUAGAGGAUUAGCACAGACGGCUGCUUCCCUUUAGGUGUAAUGGGAAAUGAGUGAAGAAGAACCUACACAACACUGCAGAUUCCAAUGUUUGCAGAGUAAUCAUCCAGGAGGUGUCUCCAGAGGAGAAGCUGGCAGAGGUGGACCUGAACUGCCUGGACAUCCUUCUAAGGAGACAUGAAGGGUCCUCAGCUUUCUGCCUCUCAUGAGACCCAAACCUUCGUUAUAGGGUGGUCCUUAAGCCAGGGGCGUUCGAAUGGGGCAGAGAGAAAAGCGCCGUAAAGGAGAGACCUCCGUUCCCUCAGAAGUGGGCGGUCUCAUUGCCCAGCAAGUGCCAGCGGCCCAAGAGGAGCUAGAAAGAGGAGACCUGCACCCUUCUCACAGGGAUUGGUCAGUGGCAAAGAGCAUUUUAAAGGCUAGGUCCUAAGGAGCUCAAAGCCACAGAGACCUUGUGGUGAUCUGCGUGUAAUGUAAUAUCUCAUUGUAAGGUGACGGGGCCAGCAGGAGUUAAUUAACUCACAAACUGACCUUGACCCAUGGCCGAACUUUAAAGACUGGUUAGGAAGAUCUGUAAAGGAAUAGAGGUUUGAAAUGCAGCCUGCAUUGUUAGAGAUAGAAGGGUAAAUGUUAGCUCGGGUCUUGUCCAUUUCUGUAGCUGUGAUUCAAAGAUCAAAAAAGCACUAUUAACAUUUAGGAAGACACUGGAGUGAAAUAGCGUUAUUGUCUAUAUCGGGGUCAGCAACCUUUCACAAGCGGUGUGCCGAGUCUUCAUUUAUUCACUCUAAAAUGUAUUCCUGACACACGAAACCUUAAUGUUUUUCAGAAGGUCUCUUUAGUUAUAUCAUAUAUAGACACAGAAACU